AUUGAACGCUGGCGGCAGGCCUAACACAUGCAAGUCGAACGAGUGGCGGACGGGUGAGUCAUGUCUGGGACACUGCCUGAUGGAGGGGGAUAACUACUGGAAACGGUAGCUAAUACCGCAUACCAUCGGAUGUGCCCAGAUGGGAUUAGCUAGUAGGUGGGGUAAAGGCUCACCUAGGCGACGAUCCCUAGCUGGUCUGAGAGGUUGACCGGCCACACUGGAACUGAGACACGGUCCAGACUCCUACGGGAGGCAGCAGUAGGGAAUAUUGCACAAUGGGCGCAAGCCUGAUGCAGCCACGCCGCGUGUAUGAUGAAGGCCUUCGGUUUGUAAAGUACUUUUAGCAGGGAGGCGUUACCCGCAGAGGAAGCCCCGGCUAACUCCGUGCCAGCAGCCGCGGUAAUAC
rnacentral:rRNA from 1 species